CAGCAGGGAAUCGUUCCACACUUCCUGUGGCUCGUCCCGCUGGACUGGAGCGAGGAAGGACGGAUCGGUCUGUGCAUAGAAGUGUACGGCUGCUCCUACUCGUAACACACCUUCCUAGCCACCAGCUUCCUGCAGCUGCCAGGACGAGCAGAUCACAACACGAUAUCUGUGAGCGUCCAGUUUCUUACGCUGAACCCCGAUGGGCUUCUCUUCUUCAGUAAUCUCGAUGAUGGCACUCUGGAGAUCUCCCUGGAGGAGAGCAAGGUGGUAGUUCAUGUCAACGUUUCAAAGGGGACCAGCAACAACCGGGUCGACUUAUCAUCAGGUUCAAGCCUUAACGACGGCCAAUGGCACUCAAUACGUUUGGUCGCCAAGGAGAACUUUGCCAUGUUGACGAUAGACGGCGAGGAGGCGUCUGCUGUGAGCUCCACUUCACCUCUCAGCAUCACCACAGGAGGAACCUAUCACUUGGGAGGUAAAGGGUCACCCCCAACACCCUUCACUUCAUUCUGCAUCCACUGACAUCCCAUCAAAUUCCUGUCAAGUUCCCAUCAAUACCCAAAGAUUUAGCAAAAAUCUGACAGAGAUGGGUUUUUAUCAUUUUAUUUACAAAAAGAUUAAAGAUGCUUUAUUAAAAGUUUAACAGAACACUCUUAAUAUUCACAUAUACACAAAAUAAAAAGUCCUGUAAGUAGUCAAUAUAUUAAUUCAUGAUCCCAAGGAAUACUAUGCAUAAUCCAUUUUCCACUUUUGUAAUGUUUGUGAUUCAAUUCCUUGACUUCAGCUGAUGUUUACACAUAAAUAUAAAAUGUUCAACCAGUAAGUGCGACUGAGAUUAUUAGGUAUUUUGAGGAGACAAGGUUUUUAUUACAGUGCAAUGAAUAAAUAUCUUCAAAAGCAAAAA